rnacentral:rRNA from 1 species
AUGGCCGGCGCAACAAUGGCCACCGCCACCGUCGCGGCCGCGUCGCCGCUCCGCGGCAGGGUCACCGGGCGCCCACACCGCGUCCGCCCGCGUUGCGCUACCGCGAGCAGCGCGACCGAGACUCCGGCGGCGCCCGGCGUGCGGCUGUCCGCGGAAUGCGUCAUUGUGGGCGCCGGCAUCAGCGGCCUCUGCACCGCGCAGGCGCUGGCCACCCGAUACGGCGUCAGCGACCUGCUCGUCACGGAGGCCCGCGACCGCCCGGGCGGCAACAUCACCACCGUCGAGCGUCCCGACGAGGGGUACCUGUGGGAGGAGGGACCCAACAGCUUCCAGCCCUCCGACCCGGUCCUCACCAUGGCCGUGGACAGCGGGCUCAAGGAUGACUUGGUGUUCGGGGACCCCAACGCGCCCCGGUUCGUGCUGUGGGAGGGGAAGCUGAGGCCGGUGCCGUCGAAGCCAGGCGACCUGCCUUUCUUCAGCCUCAUGAGUAUCCCUGGGAAGCUCAGGGCCGGCCUUGGCGCGCUCGGCAUUCGCCCACCUCCUCCAGGGCGCGAGGAGUCGGUGGAGGAGUUUGUGCGCCGCAACCUCGGUGCCGAGGUCUUUGAGCGCCUCAUCGAGCCUUUCUGCUCAGGUGUAUAUGCUGGUGAUCCUUCGAAGCUUAGUAUGAAGGCUGCAUUUGGGAAGGUCUGGAGGUUGGAGGAGAUUGGAGGUAGUAUUAUUGGUGGAACCAUCAAGGCGAUUCAGGAUAAAGGGAAGAACCCCAAACCGCCAAGGGAUCCCCGACUUCCGGCACCAAAGGGACAGACGGUGGCAUCUUUCAGGAAGGGUCUAGCCAUGCUCCCGAAUGCCAUCGCAUCUAGGCUGGGUAGUAAAGUCAAGCUGUCAUGGAAGCUUACGAGCAUUACAAAGGCGGACAACCAAGGAUAUGUAUUAGGUUAUGAAACACCAGAAGGACUUGUUUCAGUGCAGGCUAAAAGUGUUAUCAUGACCAUCCCGUCAUAUGUUGCUAGUGAUAUCUUGCGCCCACUUUCAAUUGAUGCAGCAGAUGCACUCUCAAAAUUCUAUUAUCCGCCAGUUGCUGCUGUAACUGUUUCAUAUCCAAAAGAAGCUAUUAGAAAAGAAUGCUUAAUUGAUGGGGAGCUCCAGGGUUUCGGCCAGUUGCAUCCACGUAGCCAAGGAGUCGAGACUUUAGGGACAAUAUAUAGCUCUUCUCUCUUUCCUAAUCGUGCUCCUGCUGGAAGAGUGUUACUUCUGAACUAUAUCGGGGGUUCUACAAAUACAGGGAUCGUCUCCAAGACUGAGAGUGACUUAGUAGGAGCCGUUGACCGUGACCUCAGAAAAAUGUUGAUAAACCCUAGAGCAGCAGACCCUUUAGCAUUAGGGGUUCGAGUGUGGCCACAAGCAAUACCACAGUUUUUGAUUGGGCACCUUGAUCGCCUUGCUGCUGCAAAAUCUGCACUGGGCCAAGGCGGCUACGACGGGUUGUUCCUAGGAGGAAACUACGUCGCAGGAGUUGCCUUGGGCCGAUGCAUCGAGGGUGCGUACGAGAGUGCCUCACAAGUAUCUGACUUCUUGACCAAGUAUGCCUACAAGUGA